AAUGCUGCUAUAGAAGUACCAAUGAGAGGGUCUAGGAGGUCUAUGUGUCAACAGAAUUCAGAGAGAAGUGGUGAAGGUGAUUGAAGUAACUCAUGGAGUUCACUGGUUGUGGAGGUUUCCUGCCUAUAUGUUAAGUGGUGUAAUACAGCCAGAGACUACAUCCAAAACUGUUAAAGACUGGAAUUUCAACUUGUAAAUGCCUCUGAGUGCUGAAUUCUCCAUAUAUGAACUGAAGAGGAACACUGAUCUGGAUUCCAUGCAUGAGGACCACCUCUGUUGCUCACAGUGGCCAACUAAUCCAGUUGGAGAUGAUUCAGGCUUUGCAUGGUCAACAUGCAAACUUGAUGAAAGGAACUGGUUGAUGUGCUGAAGCUGACAAAACAAAAAUACAAGAUCAAAGCCCUGCCCACCGGUGGCUUACUAUCCAAUUAGAGAAAAAUCACAAAGCAAAAUUGUGCCUAAUCAACACAAUGGAAGUGGACAAUGAACAUAACGGUUCUAAGAAGAACUACAAAAAGCUUAUUAUAUGAGAGUUUCCAAUGUUUGAAUAGACAGUUUAGAAGAUGCUGCAUCACUCAACACUUCUGUCUGAGGGGAAGAUUGAGGGAACCCAGAAUUCCACAAGAGCUUGUCUACCAGCGUUCAGAUCUCAGGAGUAUGGCCGAGUGCAAAGCUGCAUUCAUGGAGACAAAAGUUCUUACCCUGCAGGAUAAGAGACUUUGCUCCUUCAGACCCACCACAUGCAUCCUAGGGAAUCUAAAGUGUCAUUUCCUCUCUGGAAGAAAGGAAGCACAAAACAUGCUAGGGUGACACCUCAUGUCCAGAAUCUCCACAGCACAUCUAUAUAGGUGCUUACAUUGGAGCCCGCAGACUUCAGUUGAACUGGAGAGAGUGAGCGCCACCAUGCUCAUCCACAGGAAAACAUGGUAGUAUUGACAUUGUCUCACACUGGGUGCCUGUCUUGAAAGAGACUGUUCUUAAUCCCUUACAAAACAGUUUACUAAGAUUUCCGUGUGCUCUUGUUACAGCCUAAUACUUCAUUCUAAAGCAAUUAUCAAAAACAAUGAGUUUUGCUCAUUUGUAUAGAAGCUCUCAUUUAUUUUUCAAGGAAUCUUCUAAGCUAUGGGCUGCUUUCAUCUUUUCACAUAUUAGGAAAAUAACAUUCAGAGGUUUUACAUGACUUUUUUAAGGGGGCGGUGUGAGAAUUCAAACUCCGCUAUUUUUCUUUCAAAUCUGAAGAUUCAUUUUAUUUUAUCAUGUAGCCGUCUACACCUGUCUUUGAAAGCCAUAGACUUUUUUUUUUUUUUUUUUUUUUUUUUUAAGAUUUUGUUUAUUUAGGGCAGCCUGGGUGGCCCAGCGGUUUAGCUUUGCCUUCAGCCCAGGGCCUGAUCCUGGAGACCCGGGAUCGAGUCGCACGUCAGGCUCCCUGCAUGGAGCCUGCUUCUCCCUCUGCCUGUGUCUCUGCCUCUCUCUCUGUGUCUCUCAUGAAUAAAUAAAUAAAACUUAUUUAUUUAUUUAUUUAU
rnacentral:lncRNA from 12 species